rnacentral:rRNA from 1 species
GUCUCAGGCCGUAUCAGCCUGAAGGCGCCCGAUCUCGUCUGAUCUCGGAAGCUAAGCAGGGUCGGGCCUGGUUAGGAUCUUGGAUGGAAGACCACCUGGGAAUCCCGGGUGCUCGAGGCU